UUGUGAGUUAGCUGUGUGCUUAGCUUCCACAACAUGACCGAUUUACGAAUCCAGGGUGCCGUUGGCAAGCUAACAAUGGCAACACCCUGAAAAUGCAUCGUCCCUGGAUGAUGCCUCAAUUGACAGAGCAGCUUGGUGAUGAUAGUUUAAGAUCCCAAAAAAUGAAAAAGCAACAGAUUGACUUUUUAAAAACACCCAAUUGGCAAGCUGAACGUCAACACCGACAGCCGACUCUGCGUCCAACUACCUGGGUUUCCUCCUAUCGUCAGUUGCCGUGUUUGGCUGUGACAUUAAGUCACCAACAACGACGAGAAAGGUCGACGACGGCCUGACCCAGCAGCUUGUCCGGACCCACCAGGGCUCGGUGCAGGACGUGAACGCGCAGCGUGCCUCGCUCCCCUCCCGCGCCGGGCUGCGGCAGCUCGAAGGCGGCUUCCUCCUUCCAAACA